AUUGAACGCUGGCGGCAGGCCUAACACAUGCAAGUCGAGCGCGAAAGUUCUUCGGAAUGAGUAAAGCGGCGGACGGGUGAGUAAUACAUGGGAAUCUGCCUGGUAGUGGGGGACAACGUUUCGAAAGGAACGCUAAUACCGCAUACGCCCUACGGGGGAAAGGGGGGGAUCUUCGGACCUCAUGCUCAUGGAGCGGCCGA
rnacentral:rRNA from 1 species